rnacentral:lncRNA from 1 species
UAUGAAGCGAGAGAUUAGAGAACACGAGGUGUUAGAGACACCUUUAGUUUCAUUCCAGGCGGUGAGUAAACCCAAGGUAGCACGUGUGGAUAAUGAUGAUGAACAUGAUAGGUCUGAUGAAGAAGAAGUUGCUGAAGAGAAUCUUGAACCUCUGAAAAGUUCAGUAUCAUCCUCAGAUGAGGAAAGGAUUGAUAGAAUCCGUAGGCUGGAGCUGAAGCUUCUAGGUAGAGAAAAGCUUUUGGGUGGAGGAGCUGGCUCUGAUAAACCUGAAGCAAAAACUGGUGGUAGAGUGGAAGGAGAGACGAAGAAGAAGGAGAAGAAGAAGAAGAAAAAGGUUCUUGUGAAAGGGAAGAAGUCCUCGACCAUAGAGAUUCCUGGAUCUUCAAAGAGGUAAAAAAAAAAGCAUGCAGCAAUCUUUGUGGUUAAAAAAAGAGUAACGAUGGUAGAUUCUUUGUUUUACUUGACCGAUUGAUUUCUGUAAUUACGAUUUUCACAGGUUAAAGAUGAAGGAGAAGGCUCUGUUAACUGGGGUCUUAGUCAAGUAUGCGGCAAAAGUUGCUUCAACCUCAAAUGAUGAAUGAUCAUUAGGAGAGUGAAUCUUUCAAGUGUUUAGUCUGUCUCAUCAGUUCUUCUUUUGACGUUUCAAUUCAUGGAUAUUGUCUUAGGAACAUGCUCAAGCAAACUUGGGUACAUAUCUCUAUGGUUUAGAAUCCUUUUGGACCCUUAGCUCUUAUGCGGUUUGUGCUUUAUUAUUGAUAUGUUGAAAGUUAAGUGAAGCAAGUGUGGGUUAAAAACAGAAACUGAGAGAUACAUGUGGGUUUGUUGUUCCUUAUCAGUUAUCACAUACAAAAUUUAAACAAUGUCGGAAUAAUCUUUCCUCUUCAACCUAUUAAACAGUCUUAUGGGGUUCAUCUCCCUCGGCUGCAGAACCACCACCACCAUUUUGGUCUUGACAAUCUUCUCACCUUAUUUUGACAAUCCCACUUUCAGAAUCGAAGAAGAUUCUAACGAGCUACCGAAUUUUUGAGGUCCCUCAAGUUAAAAAAAAUGUUGAUAGAAUUAAACACACACAAGUUGGAGUUGCUUCAGGAAGCUUGGUAUAAGAAAAACAAAGGGAGAAGCUUCAUUCUAAUUAGUAAUUUUCUGAAUAUUUCUGCUUCUGCGACAAUUGAGAAUAGUCAAAGACCUAUAAACUAUAGCAAGCCAACGCAUAUUGGGCCUCCUGCGAGGACAUGUUGGGCCCUUUGAACAACUAAAAGAUAAUGUCACUGAAGUAAAGCUAAUACCGAGAUGUUUGCUUGGCUUUCCUUUUCUCUUGCAGAAUCACAAGCAUUUGAAUCUCCCAAAAUCACAUAUCACCCCUAGAAACAUGUCGACAAUGGUCUUGAGAUGGACUACCACACUGAUAUCGAGUUUGAGUUUGCACUUGUUGUCGCAGGAACGAGUUUAAACAAACUGACUACAACAACUACAUUGUCCGCAUUUGGCUGAUUAAUUCAAUUUCGAACCAUAUACUGUUAAGACAUCUAUGUAUGUCUUCUACUUUUCUUGAGUGGUGGAAACUAGUCUCAUCCUAAAAGAUUUCAGACACAAAGAUCAACCAAAACUAGUUGAGGAGCGAAAGCCAAAUAUGAGUCAAGACCAAAGCCAUAAAAAAACAAGACUAAAACUAGAACACAACAGUUCCCAAACAUUGAUGUACUUCCACCAAUUAUAGCAAUGAGACAAAGCUGCUUAAGUGUAAAUCUAUUACAUUAUUAGCUCCUAUUAAAAUGGAACCAAAGAAAAAGAAAAUCGAAGAUCAAGAAACUCACUCAAGAACAACUUUAGCACCAAGAGCCUUAAGCUUGUCAACAAUCUUCUCACCUUCCUCUUUAGAAACACCAGCUUUCAAAACCGAAGGAGUCUUCUCCACCAACUCCUUCGCUUCCUUAAGUCCCAGAUCAGUAAAGCUCCUCACCUCCUUAAUAAUCUUGAUCUUCCCAGACGCUUCAAAACCCUCAAGCUUUAUCUCAAACACUGUCUUCUCCACUUUCGCUUCUUCACUCGCUCCGCCACCGCCUCCGCCCUGAGCGAUCCCGCCGGCAGCGACAGCUCCGGGCUUCAUAACGGCGACGGUUGGUGUCUCCGUGAUCCCUCUCUUCUUCAGUAUAAUCGCGCCGAGCUCUGAGAUUUCCGAUAGCGUUAGAGACGAGAUCUCGUCGACGAGGCGGAACACGCGGUCCGUUGGCGGACUUCGGUGUUCUGUCGGAUCGAAUGUCGCGGCGUCGUAGUCGGUUGGGAGCUUCCUCUGAUCUAUUUCUUCUUCUUCCUCUUCAUCUUGUUUUCCCGCCGGUUGUCCGAAACUCCGGCGACCGUUGAGAAGAGAAGCGAGUGGUGAUCUGGAGGUUUGUGAUAACCUUGUUGAUAAGUGUUGUCUGAAUCUGAGGAUCAAACUCAUCUUUUUAGCGAACGAAGCUCUUCUUUUCUAUCAGAUGUAAGGUUUUUGCUGCAUUUGAGGAAGAACCCUAAAGGAGGAGGCGUUGGCGAAGUCUGACGAUCAGAUGAACGUCGAGAAGCCCAUUUAUUAUUUUAAGCCCGCUAAGUCUCCCUUUGGCCCAACUAAACUUGUCUGAGUUUGUUAAAAGGAUUUUAAUGAAUUUACCGGGUAUUGUAUCAAGUUUUGAAAAGCACUCUUAUGUUAUGUGCAGAUGUGCUAUACACAAAUGUUUCUCUUGGGUUAUCGACAAGUUCUAUUUGAAGGGGAUUCUCAGAGAUUGUCUACGCUCUUCAGAGAUUAAGCAAAUAAGUGUUUAAUAUUCAUUUGCUAAAUGGCAUACAUCUCUGGACAAUCAUAUUUCGUUCUGCCUCUUUUUCUUUUGUUCGUUGUGUUUACAAUAAUGUUGCUCAUAAUUUAAGCCAAAAAACAACCAUCUAAAUGAUGCUUCUAUAGAGAUUGUGUUCACCCACCUAUAUGGUUAACUCCAGAUUUGUAUUCUUAUAUUCAACUUUCAGUAUAAAUAAGUUUUAACUUUAUAAUAGAAAAACUGAUGCUGAAACGAUAUGUAAUAAAAAUUUCAGUAAAACAUCAUCAAUGAUCAAAAGAAGUAAAAAUAUGAUUGUCAUGUGACGCUAUCACGUUUCUAAAAUCAAUCAAAUAUAUUUGGAUUAUAUUAGAUUGCUAAUUCACACAACAAAUUUAUUAUAACCAAGUGGAAUAUACAUAUACAUAAAAUCAUGGAAAUUUUAAAAUGUUUUAAUUUUCAACUUAUAAGCACCCUUUUCAAGAAACCAAAGUGUUUUUUUUCUCCAAAAAAUUCCGAGCAAACUUUUUUUUAUGUUUCUUUGUAAGAAAGAAACAAUGUUAAAAAAAAAUUGAUAAGGGACAAUUAGGUGUUUUAUAUAGAUCUAACGACUAAGGGCCCGACUGGUUUAAACGCAGCGGUUGCGGUUGCGGGUGCGGAAGUUUGCGGAUGCGGGUGGUUGCGGUUUCAAGCGUUUUGUAUGACCGGCACAACGUUUAAAAAUUGUUGCGUUUGCGGGAUAUUUGCGACUGGUUGAUUAUAAGAUAUUGCAGCGGUUUGAUAAUAAAUUAUUAAUAUUAACAUAUUAUAACAUUAUAAAAAUAUUAAAAAUACACUUAUAAUAAAAUAUAUUAAUUAUCAACAUAAUAUGAUCAAUAAAAAUAUUAUGUUUAUUUAUUAAACUUUUAAAAUUAGUUGAAAGUUAUAAUUUUAAUAAUUUUUUUUUGAAGAUUGGUAUUAAAACUUUUAAAAUAAUAUUUUAUUUCGUUUUAUAUAUGUGUAUAUCUUUAUAUAUGUGUAAAUUUUUUUAAAAAAUUGUAAUGAAUGGUUAGUUUAAAGUUUUUAUAAAAUACGUAUAUAUUUUUAAUAAAUGUUUUUUGAAGAUUGGUAUGAUAUUUUUUGUGAAUUUAAACUAAUAUAUAUAAUACGUAUAUAUUUUUAAAAUUUUUAAUUUUAAAAUAUUUAAUUUUAAAAUUUUAAAAUAUUUUUGAAAAUAAAUUUAUAUUUAUUUAUCCACCCGCAACCGCAAACGCUAGCUGGAACCAGCUUUUGAUUUUAAAAGGUUCGAAGCGGUUUAGAGCGAUUUGUAGCAGUUUGUAUGAUUGUUUCGAAACGCUAUCAACCGGUACCAACCGCAAAAAAUGUGUUGCGUGUUGUAGCGGGAAAACCAGUUAAACCCUCAAAUGACGGUCAAAAACGCCGAUACUGAUGUAGGAAGGACGAGGCGCUGUAGUAUUUCUUAAUCCAGAUGCUUAAAUACUCUCUCUCUUCCUAAAUAUAAGAUGUUUAAAUAGAAACACACAUAUUAAAAAAAAUUACUUUUUGUCUAGAAAAUAUCAAUAAAAUUAUAAAUUAAUAAUAUUCAACCGAUUACAAAAUAAAUUAUUCAAAUAUGAUUGGAUACACAGUUUUUAAUAAAGUAAAAAUUACCUAAAAAAUAAAAAGAUAUUAUAUAUUGAAGCAUCAAAAUUAUGUAGAACAUACUAAGUUUAGGAACCGAACGAGUAUGGUUUAAACAAAAAAUAUCAACUGCUACGUGGAUACUUGGUCGCCAAUCGUCUUCAAUGCAAUAUAAAAAUUUACAAUUAGUAGUUGGAACUUCAAUUAUUUGGUAAAAAAGAUACAGUAUAUGCAUGGACCGGUUACCGGUACAUAGAUAUUUUGGGUGGAAUAUGAUGAAUGCAAUUUAAUAUUUAAAUAGUGCUUUUAUUUCCAGUUGAAACUUUAUUAUAUAUGAUCAACAGAGUUGUUGUGAAAAAAGAACGGAAUUGUUGUGACAUUUGAAAUCUUCUGUAUAUAUUUGCAGAAGUUUAAACCAACAUCUUUUUUUUCAAAAAUACAUAAACGAACUUUUUUUUUAUUUUUGUAUUACUCAGUUAUUAAUAUUUUACACUAUAUCUGCUUUAAUUGUUAAACUAUUCAGAAACUAUAUAUUUAAAAUUAAGUAAUUGUAUUCUAUAUGUCAGCAUAAGUGGUGGGGCGGUUAUAUACAUAAACUUGUGACAUUUGACAAUCCCUUUUCUCAAAAAAAAGGGAGACAUUAAUUUGCCAAUCCUUAAGCAAUAGCAAACUAUUCACAAUGGCCCCUUCUCUACUCCCUCCCUUUCACGAUGUAAUUAGUUUAGACUAAAAUCACUAAUAUUAAGAAAGUUGGUACUUUAAGAAAAAUAAUAUUUAAUUAAUUAGUUCAACCAAUUAUAAAAAAAUUAAUAUUAUUUGAUUGAUUACACUAUAUCUAAUAAAUGUAAAAGUUAUCUAGAUAUUUGGAAACUAUUUACAUUUUGAAACAAAAGAAUUUUUCUUAAACUACUUACUAUAAAAAACGGAUGGAGUAUAUAACAAGACUGUCACGUUGUCGUUAUUUCGCAUCAUUAGUCGCUCGUGAUCUUUUUAUAUACUCCCUCUGUUUUUAUUUGUAAGUAGUUUUAGUUAAAAGUGUGAAUAUUAAGAAAACUUUUAAUUUUGAAAAAAUAAAAUUUAAUACAUAAAUUUAACCAAUAAUAAAAAUGUAUGAAUUAUUUGAUUAGUCACACAACAUGUAAUAAAUGUAAAAAGUCAUUUGGAUUAUGUAAACAUCUUACAUUGUGAAACAAAUAUUUUUUUUUGCUAAAACUAUUUAUAUAUCAAAACAGAGGGAGUAGCAAAAUGUAUUUUAGUGCAGACUCACAUUUAUGUGUAUAACGCACUUUAUACAUGUACGAUAAAAAUUGUCUGAUUCCAAUUAACUUAACGCUAGCAUUUAUCAGGAUGCAGCUUAUAUAGAAAUAUUUCUAACGUAAUUUGAGUUAAUCAACAAAAGACCUAUGAAUUAAUUAUAGUUGUGAACAGUUAGUUAUUCAACUGUAGAUGUAACUGUUUGUUUCUUUUCAAAUAAUCCAAAGGAUUGUGGAAGUCUGCGAGGCGUGUGUGGAACAUGAAAGCGUCAGUUCUGAACAAAUCGAAAUGACAAGGAGAUUCUGCCAAAAACAGCAACCACACGUGUGCUGUUUGUUCAUCAUAUGUACUCAUUACUACUGUCACUAUUAUUAUUUUGUUUUUAUUACCACAACACGACAAUCCAAUUACAUAGCGAAUUAUUGGUUGAAUAAAAGCGAAAGAAUUUGAUAAAAGUUAUUAUAUACACAAAAGAAUAUAUUUAUUUCGAUAUAAAAAACAAGAAUAUGUUUCUUUCAUUGCUUAAUGGAUGGCAUACUAUGUAUCCAGGUUUACAUACCAUUUGUAUGGUUGUUGUGAAAUGUAGAAGCUGUAAAGUAGAAAGUCUGGAAAUUUACAGAAUUCAUAGUUUUUUUUUUCUUUUGUUGACUAAUUCACUGUUAAUUAUAUUGUCAUGCCAUUUGUAUAACAUAUAUUGGAGAAAAUAUAAAGGAAAGAAAUGUAGAUGGAGUGGAUGGAGAUGAGAGAUUGUAACUUGUAAGAUUGUCAGAGUCAAAUGAAAUAAGGUGGACCAACCAUGACACUCUACCUUGGAAUUCAAACUUUUAUAUAACCCAGAUUAAUUAUUUCUUUCUACUCGUACAUGUGUUCAAACUAUUCAUCUUUCUCGUUAGUGCGUUUGAAACUGAAUUUUAUUUUUAAAAGCAAAGUGUUUAAAAAAAUAUAUAUAUAUAUUUAUAUUGACAGAUGAUAUCCUCAAGGACUUUAGUGCCACAAAUUUUAGAGAGAUGAAAAAAUGUUCGUUCAUGCUAUAUAAAAGAUCGAUCGUCCUAACUAAAUACAUAUAUUUUUUUUUUGUCACACACUAAAUACAGUAUAUCGUUAAAAUGUGAUAUCUCUGUAUUUCUCAAUAUUAUUUGAAAAAUCAGUUUUUAUGUGUCGCACUCACGUUAACUCUCAUGAUGGUUGAUUACACUGAUACUCUUAAUGAAUUAAAAAAUAUUACAUAUAAAAUACUAUUAUUUAUUUUGUUAUUUAGUUUCCUUUUUAACAAUUCCGAAAACAUAUACAUAUAAUAAAAAAGAAACUUUUUGUAGAGUUAAAAAAAAUAAUUGAAAAGCGAAAAUAUAUGUAUAUAUAAUAUGAUUUUAUAAAAAGGAAAAGUUCACAAAAUAGUAAUAUUACAUUUAAAUAACAUAAAAUAUACUUUUGAAUUAAUAAAAUACUUUCUUUAUAUCCAUAUUUUCUCAGAUAAAAAAUAUAAUUUUGUAUAUAACGUGAUUUCAUCAAAAACAAUUUACACUAAUCUUGAUAUUAGAAAAAUAAAUAUUAUUUCUUUUAAAACAUAAUUUGAAACAAUACAAAAAAUCUAUAUUUUCAAAGUAAUAGAAAUAAUUUUUAUAUAUCUAUCUAUUCUCUUAAAUGAUUACAUAAACUGGUAUAUGUUUAAUUGACUAAAAAUAGUAUUAUUGAAAUGUUUUAUUUAUUUUUCAUAUAUUUAAGUGACUAUAAUAUCUUUCAAUUACAGUAAAAAAAUCCAUAAAUUAUAUUUUACUUAUAUAAUAUGAUUUUUAAAAUACAAUCAACCAAUUUUUUUAAACUGCUUAUUUCUCACUAUGAUCACCCACUCAUUUACCAAAUUAAGCACCAUCUUUGUUAUUUUAUGUAUUGUUGUUCACUAUAAAUACCAUCACUCAUCUCACUCUUUUGUACACCAUAAACAAGAACAAGAGUUUAUAAUCAAAGAACCAUUACAUCUUCUUCUUCUUCCUUAUAAUAAACUCUCUCCCUUAUACUAGUGUUAUUUGCUUCCUACGGGUAUCAAAUUCUACUCUUAUUAAAAUUUCUCGAUACUAUAAAUUAUAAGUUAUUUCUUAACAAUAACAUUAUUAUGGUAAUAGUUAUUAUCACAAGUUGUUGUUUAGACACUAUUGUUUUUUUUUUAGUAAUUUUACUUGAGGCCCGAAAACAAGCCCAUUGGGCUUUCUUGAAGAGCGCUUUAGUUCGCGAUUCUACGGUUUUCUUCCCCGACGAAGAAGAUAACGAAACACAACACACAAAGCAUGAACGGAGCUUCGCUCAGCAAUUCCCUUUUGCUCCAUUCUCGUUUCAGUUCACCGUGUUCCAUCGCUUCCUCUUCUUCUCCUUCGUCUGUUUAUCUGAGUCCUCCCUGUUUCACAACCUCUGCGUACAUCUCAUUUCCUCGAACAGUCGUUGUCAAAAGGAACGAUGGGUUUCGCUCAUUCGCCGUAAACAAACGUAGAAGCACUAUCCAAGAUGAUGUAGAAGAAGUAGAGGAUGAGGAUUGGGAUGAGUUUGAAGUAGAAGCUGAAGGAGAAGGAGACGAAGACGAAGACGAAGACGAAGGAGAGUUCUUGCCAAUGGAGAAGAUGAAGCGAUGGCUAGAGAAGAAGCCUCGCGGGUUCGGCGUUGGCAAAAAGUACGAGACUUUAAUAGAAGACAAGCUCCUCGACGAGAUUGAGCAGAGCUGGAAAGCUCAAGCUGCUAAUCUCAACCAGCUCAAGAACAACGAUCCUCUCAAGCCUCAAGAUAAUCUCAUCAAAGGUUUCGUCUUUUUUUGCUCUUUCCUCUCUCUCUCAUACUCGUUUUGACUUAAAAUCUCAGUUAGCUGCUUUUGUUGAAUGAUUGUUAUAUAGGUGAGACUCAAAGUGGGUUCCGUGUUCGUGUGACCAAUCUUCCUAAGAAGAAGAAUGUCCACAGAGAUCUCAAGGCUGCUUUUAAGGAAGUGAGUGGGGUUUUGGGGAUAGAGCCAGCUGUGUCUGGUAAUAAGAAGACUAAAGAUCCUGUCUGUAAAGGGUUUGCUCUUGUUGAUUUCAGAAGCGAGGUUGAUGCAAACAGGUAUUGUAGAUUAGCGUUUCUAUUGUUUGGUGAUGAUGAGGAUAAAGUUUUGGUUUUUUUUUGUUUCUUAGGUUUGUGGAGCAGUUCAAUGGAGAGAGAUUAUCAUUUGGGAAGGUUGUAAAGCAUAUAAAGUGUCAGGUUGUGGAGGUUUCUUCGAACCAAUCAGUUUCUGAGGAAUUACGCUCGGAUACAGUCUUUGAGGAGCUUCCUUUCCAUGGUUUUGAAGCUGUUUCUAGUGUUGAUGUUGUUGAAGAAGAUACUUUUGUGGAUUCAUGGGAAGAAGAAUCAUCAGAUGAUUCAGACAAAGAAGGAGAUGAAACAGAAGUGGAAGAAGAAGAAGAAUAUGAAGAGAAUCUUAUCUCUAGUAGCAUAGAACCUCCCAAAGAACCAAGACGUGAGUCUAAAACCAAUGUUAAGUCUCAGAAACAAGUUAUGAAGCGAGAGAUUAGAGAACACGAGGUGUUAGAGACACCUUUAGUUUCAUUCCAGGCGGUGAGUAAACCCAAGGUAGCACGUGUGGAUAAUGAUGAUGAACAUGAUAGGUCUGAUGAAGAAGAAGUUGCUGAAGAGAAUCUUGAACCUCUGAAAAGUUCAGUAUCAUCCUCAGAUGAGGAAAGGAUUGAUAGAAUCCGUAGGCUGGAGCUGAAGCUUCUAGGUAGAGAAAAGCUUUUGGGUGGAGGAGCUGGCUCUGAU